GAGAUACAGCUGCUAAAAAAUGUUUUCCCACAUUGUAGGUUGUCUCUUGGCUCUGUUGGUAGUUUCCCUUGCAGUGCAGAAGCUUUUUAAUAAGAUGAAUUCCCAGUUGUUGAUUCUUUGUGUUAGUUCCUGUGCUAUUGAGGUUUUGUUCAUAAAGUCUUUUCCUAUGUGUGGAGAGCAGUGUGUGGAGAGCAGUGUUAGCCAAAGAGGCUCCAUUUUGAAUCUUACCCUCCAUUGUAUAGAGCAAGGAGACUAUGUUAUGAGGAACCGCGUCCUUGCCGAAUUAGAUUGCCCUGGAACGUGAUGAACGUUCUGUAACCCUGAGAAACAAGGAAGCCCAUGAGGGUGGGGAAUUCCCAAAGAACUAGAAAACAAGGAAGCAGGUGUCUCUGGAUAAGGGUCAUGAUUAACAACCAAACUCACCUGCUGUAUAAAAGAGAGGAGAAAAAUAAACUUGGGCGCUCGGUCUCUGGGAGCCCUCCUGACUCUAUCUCUUUGUCUUUAUUUUUCUUCAUCCUCACUCCCCCAUUCAGGUGUUGUCCGACAAGUGACGGCAGGCUCUGUCACGGGUGGCGCCCGAACAGGGACCUGAAUACGGGGGACCAUAGUGAAGGACACUGCGGAUCGUGAGCUCGGAUAAAUUAAGGGCAGUGAAUGCACUCGGGAGUAGCAAGAUGGGUAUUGGUAACAGCCAGCUGCUUUUUGUACAUAUGCUUAAAAAAAUGCUUCGGUCUCGUGGAGCAAAGGUCCAAGAUUAAUGAAAAAAACUGACCUUCUUAUAGCCAUGAUUAAACAUCCCCCAGGACCCAGGCCUUUGUCUGUCAAUUCUCGGUGUCUGUCGCCAUUACAAGCUACCCUGCAACAUGCGGUUGACAGAGGGGAAGAUACCCAGGGCUUUCGUUUAGCUUGUCCAGUAUUUGAGGAAGCUGAUGCUCAAGGGAAUAUGGUCAGAAUCCAUCGACCGAUAUCUUUUAAGCAACUUAAAGUGUUAAAAAUGGCAUGUGCGCAAUAUGGCCCUACCGCACCUUUUACUCAGGCUAUGUUAGAAUCGUUGAGCAUGGAGGUGCUGCCUCCCAGAGAUUGGAAACAGCUCGCUAAGGCAUGCCUGUCUAGGGGAGAUUACCUCCUUUGGAAAACAGAAUUUUCCGAGCAGUGUCAAAGAACAGCUGAAUUAAAUCGGGCUAAUAGAAAUGAUACUGAUUAUGACAUGCUGGCAGGAGAAGGGCAAUAUGCGGACCUCGCCAAUCAAUUACUUUGCUCAGAUACAACGGUGCAUACAUGCCCGGACCUGUCCUUGUUAUGUGGGUCACAUUAGGGCUCAUUCUGGGCUUCCCGGACCCCUGGCAAAGGGAAAUUGUGGAUGCUUAUGGAUUGACUGCAGCAGAACAGCUGUGGCAUCCUAAAACUAAAUCAUCACAUGCUCAAGUGAGGUGGAAAGAUCCCCUCACGGGUGUAUGGAGUGGGCCCGACCCGGUAUUAAUAUGGGGACGAGGGCAUGUUUGUGUUUUCCCGCAGGAUGCUGAAGGUGCCAGGUGGCUGCCUGAAAGAUUGGUCCGUUUUGCAGGAAAUUUUCCUGCCCCUUGGGAUGAUCCCGACAACUGUCCUGCUGAUAAAUCUAAUGGUGACGCUUAAUGAGAAGGUUUAUUGGACUUAUGUACCUGAUCCACCUGUUGUACAUCCAACGAGCUGAAAAAAUGGACAAGUAAUGGUAUGGGUGAACAAUACCAGGCUGUUGCAUGAGCCGGCGGCCCCUGACAAGAACAAGUUCCGAUUGUUCAACUAUACGGGAUCAGAAACUGGAACCCCCAUAUGUUUCUUCAAAAUCAACAGAACUGAUUGUAUAAGACUGAGCGCUUGCACCCUGACAGGAAGGCAGGUAGAUCAGUGCAAAGGCGGGAUCACUGGAGUCCAUCUACAUCUACCUGUGGGUAUGGAGACCACUGGUGUAGUGCCUCAGACUUUUAAUGCUCCAAUAAGACUAUUCCAUGGAAGAGAUGUGUGGCGGAUGCCUCCGUGAGAUAUAAUAUUACUGGACUUGAUACUUAUGUUUUGGACUGGUCUGAAAAUUCUUGUCAUCCCAAAAGAAAUGUCAUUGCAUGUGUCAUGUGCUCUUAUGUAUUGCUUGUAAGAAAUAUUAGUGUUCAGAAAAGUUAUGAUUAUUAUAGUGAAAUUUACUUCAAUUGUCAAAUAAGCAAUUGUGUCACCCGAACAGAAAAUCAGAUAAUGGUUUUGCGAAUGCGUUUUUAGAUUUGGAUCUUAUAGAUCUCCAAAAUGCAGAACCCCUAAAAUUUGAUGCAGCCCAGGCUGCACAGGAUUUUAUCGAACAAAUUAGAAAAGUUCUGCCAUCUACAUCUGCAUUUACGUGGUAACUCAUUUCCAUAGUAAUUAUUGGAGGAGGGCUGCCUCUUAGAUGCAUGAUCCUUCCGGUGCUACUGCAGAUGUUUGUGCAUUCUUUAAUGAGGAUGGCUGGAAGUAUUCAUGGUCUAUAAUUACAUGCUACAUCGCCUAAACCCAUGGUGUAAUUCCCUGCAGAGGCUGAUAGUCAAUGACGGUUAAGAGGAGUAUAGGAAAUCACCAACCUAAGACAAAGCAAGAACACUGUGAUGCUCUUGACUCCAUGACAGGUAAGGGAUUUCUUUAUAUUCCUCGCCUAAGACAGGCACAGUCUAUCUGCGUGAUCAAGGGACCUUGAUCAUAAUAUAUAAAACAGGGGGGAGAUGUGGAGAGCAGUGUGUGGAGAGCGGUGUUAGCCAAAGAGGCUCCAUUUUGAAUCUUACCCUCCAUUGUAUAGAGCAAGGAGACUAUGUUAUGAGGAACCACGUUCUUGCCAAAUUAGAUUGCCCUGGAACGUGAUGAACGUUCUGUAACCCUGAGAAACAAGGAAGCCCAUGAGGGUGGGGAAUUCCCAAAGAACUAGCAAACAAGGAAGCAGGUGUCUCUGGAUAAGGGUCAUGAUUAACAACCAAACUCACCUGCUGUAUAAAAGAGAGGAGAAAAAUAAACUUGGGCGCUCGGUCUCUGGGAGCCCUCCUGACUCUAUCUCUUUGUCUUUCUUUUUCUUCAUCCUCACUCCCCCAUUCAGGUACUGUUCGACAAGUGACAGCGGGCUCUAUCACCUAUGCCAAUGUCUUCAAGAGUUCUACCUAACUUAUCUUCCAGCAAGUUUAGUGUUUCUGUCUU
ensembl:lncRNA